rnacentral:rRNA from 1 species
UACGUAGGGUGCAAGCGUUAAUCGGAAUUACUGGGCGUAAAGCGUGCGCAGGCGGUUGUGCAAGACCGAUGUGAAAUCCCCGGGCGUUAACCUGGGAAUGGCAUUGGUGACUGCACGGCUAGAGUGUGUCAGAGGGGGGUAGAAUUCCACGUGUAGCAGUGAAAUGCGUAGAGAUGUGGAGGAAUACCGAUGGCGAAGGCAGCCCCCCUGGGAUAACACUGACGCUCAUGCACGAAAAGCGUGGGGAGCAAACAGG